rnacentral:lncRNA from 1 species
CUCCCUUCAGGGAAGUGUGGGUGGUGGUGGUGGUGCAGGACCUAGAAGCAAAAAAGGGACACUUCUAACAAAGCCGUGAAGUUCUUCUGUGCUGUUAUAACGCGAUCUACCUAGGGAUCAUUAAUUCUCUCAAGACUCAAAAGGCUAAUAAUGAUUGCUGUGGAAAAAUACUACUUUCCCAAAAGUGCCUAUGGAUUUACAGAUCAUCCUGAAGACAGAAGCAGAAAUAUGUGGGCUACAAUAUGAAGUA